CUCAGGUGCAUGAGAAGGCUAAAAUUCCACAGUCCUCUGAAGGGUUACGGCGGCGGAAGAGGGAAUCAAAGUUUGAUUCGACUCUCACGAUUCAACUAAGGCUCCAGAUUUUCUGGGAUCUCUGGUCUUCCCGGAACGGCUACUUGGGUAGCCUUCCCGGGAUGGGUCCCGGAAACCACGAGGGACGACGGAUUUUACUUUGGAAGACAACGUUCACAGGCCUGAUGCCGUCAGAGAUUCAGGUGGAAUGAGAGAGUUCGUCUGAAAUAUAAUGGUAGAAAAUGCCCUCGCAAAUAAAUCAACCAGCAAGGAGAAUCUGCACAAGUCUCAGAUUUCCUUAAGAAAUCACCUCCCGCCCACCAGGCACGUGGGAUACUGGACCUGCUGAGCUUCUUGGAGACCGGAUAUACUUCGUUGGAAGAAAAGAAAAUUAGAAAUGAAACCAAGGAUUCUAAAUUCACAGUUGCUCCGUGGAAGAGGGACCUACGUUAGCCACUGGUUCCAAUCAGAAAUCCUUGGGCGACGCUAACCGGAAAAAAUCGUGAGGGAGCGCUUGACACCCCGAUACUUCUUUCCCUCCUGGGCUCCCCGACAGAGAAUAGCUGAUUUCCUGAAUGACCU